GGCUACACAGCUUCUGCUAGACCCUCUUGGGAUGUUCUUGCUUGGAGCCAAGCAGCCACCUGGAGACCCCACACAGCCUUUCCAGCUGACAGCCCCAGCUGAGGUCCCAGCAGAUGGCAUAUCCACAAAAUGAAGCCUUCUCUGAACCAGUCCCAAGAAGUCUCAACUUUAAAGCAUUAACUCCCCAAAUGAACUCACUUUCAUUUCAUCUUCUCAUAUGUCAUUGCAUUCUCAACAAACCAGAUCUAUAGGAUGGAUCAGUCAAAGCUUACAAAGAAAUCUAAUUAGGUAUGGAAUAUGAACUUUUUAUUUGAUAAAUAACUUAG
rnacentral:lncRNA from 1 species